UACGUAGGGGGCAAGCGUUGUCCGGAAUCAUUGGGCGUAAAGCGCGUGUAGGCGGCUCGAUAAGUCUGCUGUGAAAGUCCAGGGCUCAACCCUGGGAUGCCGGUGGAUACUGUCGAGCUCGAGUCCGGAAGAGGCGAGUGGAAUUCCUGGUGUAGCGGUGAAAUGCGCAGAUAUCAGGAGGAACACCAAUGGCGAAGGCAGCUCGCUGGGACGGUACUGACGCUGAGGCGCGAAAGCGUGGGGAGCAAACAGG
rnacentral:rRNA from 1 species